rfam:Danio rerio chromosome 24, GRCz11 reference primary assembly.
CUGCAACCUGGUUCAAGUAAUCCAGGAUAGGCUUUGUGGACUAGGGUUGGCCUGUUCUUGGUUACUUGCACUGGGUUGCAG